GCAGAGAGGCAGCUGUCUGUUCUCCUUUGCUGUCUAGGCUCAAGCCAAAACUAUCUUAAAGCACAUGGGACCUGCGGUGAAGUAAAUAGAUGGCAGCAAAGCGAGCUCCAACACAGAGCUUGGCAGGACGGCCGGGACUCAGCAGGGCUGUGCUGUGUCCUUCAAGAAGUCAGCUGCAUGGCUGUGGCAGGGACCUUCUGAGAGGAGAAGGGAUUUUGAUUUGUAGUGAAGUGGAUGAGUUUGUCUUCAUCACAGAUAUUGUUUCAGGAGCAGUUGCAGUAUCAAGAAGGUGCCCAGCACAGCUCAGAACUGUUUCCAAUGGUGUCUCUAACUUCAUAGUUGCUGCACUGACCAAGUGGGAAUAUGAUGGCCCAGACAGAAACUUGCUAUGGCUGAUUCUGCUUCAUUGGCUGCAAGGAUUUGGCACCUGUUGAUUCUGUGCUUCAUUACGAGGAGGUCAUGGACAGCUGCCAAAUCAACGGACUAAGAAAUUAAUUAAGCAACACUGCACUGAGCCUGUGCAUUUUCCACACGCCCAAUUACUAGUGACCUAAAUCGAGGGCAAAAGCCUGGAGUCUGGAGCUCGUUUAGAGAAGUGAUCCUUCCAUAAAACUGCACAUCUCUAUCUUAUGUGGAACGUAUGUCCUAAAAUAAUGUCAGGUAGGGUAAAAGCUAUUAUGAAUCAAGCUGCAACAGUUCGGUGUGUUUCUUACUUACUGUAAGCACGCUGGAGAAGGCCUUUC
rnacentral:lncRNA from 1 species